GGAUAUGGGGGUGAUCUGGCUGCAACAUCUGUCACCCCAUUGAUCACCAGUGUUGAUUCGGCUGAUCUGGCUGACUAGGAGGGUGUCCCCUUCCUCCCUCACAGCUCCAUGUGUGUCCCUCCCGAAGCUGCACACUUGGUCAAAGAGGAUGACCUUCCCCAAUAAAGGAGAGGACCAUUUUUUGGUCAAGGGUAUAUGAGUAGCUGUGCUCCCCUGCUAGACCCUCCAAACAAGCUCUCAAGAAGUAAAGAAUAGGCUUAUAGAGAUCAUGACCGCCCAGGCUUCUUACUUAUAUUUCAAAUUAUAAUCAUAUCAUGAUGGCUUUUG
rnacentral:snRNA from 1 species